rnacentral:rRNA from 1 species
UACGUAGGGGGCAAGCGUUGUCCGGAUUUAUUGGGCGUAAAGAGCGUGUAGGCGGUCAGGUAGGUCCGUUGUGAAAACUCGAGGCUCAACCUCGAGACGCCGAUGGAAACCAUCUGACUAGAGUCCGGAAGAGGAGAGUGGAAUUCCGUGGUGUAGCGGUGAAAUGCGCAGAUAUCAGGAAGAACACCCGUGGCUAAGGCGGCUCUCUAGUACGGUACUGACGCUGAGACGCGAAAGCGUGGGGGAGCGAACAGG